rnacentral:rRNA from 1 species
CCUACGGGAGGCAGCAGUGGGGGAUAUUGCACAAUGGGGGAAACCCUGAUGCAGCGACGCCGCGUGAGUGAAGAAGUAUUUCGGUAUGUAAAGCUCUAUCAGCAGGGAAGAAAAUGACAGUACCUGACCAAGAAGCCCCGGCUAACUACGUGACAGCAGCCGCGGCAAUACGUAGGGGGCAAGCGUUAUCCGGAUUUACUGGGGGUAAAGGGAGCGUAGACGGUUUUGUAAGUCUGGAGUGAAAGCCCGGGGCCCAACCCCAGGAGUGCCUUGGAAACGGUGGAACUGGAGUACAGGAGGGGCAGGCGGAAUUCGUGGUGUAGCGGUGAAAUGCUUAGAUAUCAGGAAGAACACCGACGGCGAAGGCGGCCUGCUGGACUGAAACUGACGUUGAGGCUCGAAAGCGUGGGGAGCAAACAGGAUUAGAUACCCGGGUAGUC